AACGCUGGCGGCGUGCCUAACACAUGCAAGUCGAACGGAGUUAUUAUGGAAGCUCUCGGAACGGAAGUUUUAACUUAGUGGCGGACGGGUGAGUAACGCGUGAGUAACCUGCCUUUCAGAGGGGGAUAACGUCUGGAAACGGACGCUAAUACCGCAUAACAUAUUUGAGUCGCAUGGCUUAGAUAUCAAAGGAGUAAUCCGCUGAAAGAUGGACUCGCGUCUGAUUAGAUAGUUGGUGGGGUAACGGCCUACCAAGUCAACGAUCAGUAGCCGGACUGAGAGGUUGAACGGCCACAUUGGGACUGAGACACGGCCCAGACUCCUACGGGAGGCAGCAGUGGGGGAUAUUGCACAAUGGGCGCAAAGCCUGAUGCAGCAACGCCGCGUGAGGGAAGACGGUUUUCGGAUUGUAAACCUCUGUCUUUGGUGAAGAAACAAAUGACGGUAACCAAGGAGGAAGCCACGGCUAACUACGUGCCAGCCGCGGC
rnacentral:rRNA from 1 species